rnacentral:rRNA from 1 species
UACGAAGGGGGCUAGCGUUGUUCGGAAUCACUGGGCGUAAAGGGCGCGUAGGCGGCUUUAUAAGUCGGGGGUGAAAGCCUGUGGCUCAACCACAGAAUUGCCUUCGAUACUGUUUGGCUUGAGUUUGGUAGAGGUUGGUGGAACUGCGAGUGUAGAGGUGAAAUUCGUAGAUAUUCGCAAGAACACCAGUGGCGAAGGCGGCCAACUGGACCAACACUGACGCUGAGGCGCGAAAGCGUGGGGAGCAAACAGG